rnacentral:rRNA from 1 species
GUGGGGAAUCUUGCGCAAUGGGCGAAAGCCUGACGCAGCAACGCCGCGUGCGGGAUGAAGGCCUUCGGGUCGUAAACCGCUUUCAGCAGGGACGAACGUGACGGUACCUGCAGAAGAAGCCCCGGCUAACUACGUGCCAGCAGCCGCGGUAAUACGUAGGGGGCUAGCGUUAUCCGGAUUCAUUGGGCGUAAAGCGCGCGUAGGCGGCUUGUUAAGCGAGAUGUGAAAACCGGGGGCUCAACCCGCGGCCUGCAUCUCGAACUGGCAGGCUUGAGUCUGGUAGAGGGGUGUGGAAUUCCCAGUGUAGCGGUGAAAUGCGCAGAUAUUGGGAGGAACACCAGUGGCGAAGGCGGCACCCUGGGCCAUGACUGACGCUGAGGCGCGAAAGCUAGGGGAGCAAACAGGAUUAGAUACCCGUGUAGUCC